UCCCUUAAUAGGAAGAGGAUUCAUUUGACCUAACACUGCCAGGUUACAGUCCAUCCUAGCAUGGAAGUCACAGCAACAGAAGCUUGAGUGAACUCGUCACAUCACAUCCUCCAUCAGGAAGAAAGAGCACAGAAUGCUUCCAUGCCAUGCUCUACUCACUCUCUCCGCUUCACUCAGUGGGCAGGAUGCCUCUGUAAAAAGCACUGUCCAUCGUCAGGAUGUGUCUCCCUACAGUAAUUAACUAAGUCUUCCACAGAGGCUCACAGGCCAGCCUAAUCCAGAUGAGUCGUAUUGAGAUUCUCUUCACUGUGAUUCUGCUCUGAUCAAGUUGAUCGACAUCACAGAUGGAGAGUGCAUCUGAUGCUCUUGAGGAGAUGUGAAUAUUCAGCUACUGUUUCAAUUGCCUACUGCCUGGUGCCUCCACUCUGCCAUCAUGGACUCUGACUCUGAACUGUAACACCCAAAUACAUUCUUCCUUCUAAUAUUUCACAAUCAAAUUCUGAGGGAUGAGACAGAAGUACUUCCCAUCCACUGUCUAGUCCCAUCAGGCUGAGCAGAAGACACCAUCACAUACUGCUUUUGCUUGAUAUCAACACCAGUGACCUUACCCCCACAGUCUUGAUAAAGCUGCAAUACCCCUAACAA